GGCGUUAAGUUGCAGGGUAUAGACCCGAAACCCGGUGAUCUAGCCAUGGGCAGGUUGAAGGUUGGGUAACACUAACUGGAGGACCGAACCGACUAAUGUUGAAAAAUUAGCGGAUGACCUGUGGCUGGGGGUGAAAGGCCAAUCAAACCGGGAGAUAGCUGGUUCUCCCCGAAAGCUAUUUAGGUAGCGCCUCGUGAAUUCAUCUCCGGGGGUAGAGCACUGUUUCGGCUAGGGGGCCAUCCCGGCUUACCAACCCGAUGCAAACUGCGAAUACCGGAGAAUGUUAUCACGGGAGACACACGGCGGGUGCUAACGUCCGUCGUGAAGAGGGAAACAACCCAGACCGCCAGCUAAGGUCCCAAAGUCAUGGUUAAGUGGGAAACGAUGUGGGAAGGCCCAGACAGCCAGGAUGUUGGCUUAGAAGCAGCCAUCAUUUAAAGAAAGCGUAAUAGCUCACUGGUCGAGUCGGCCUGCGCG
rnacentral:rRNA from 2 species